rnacentral:rRNA from 1 species
CGGUACGGGUGCGUAACACGUGUGCAACCUGCCUUUAUCUGGGGGAUAGCCUUCGAAGGAAGAUUAAUACUCCAUAAUAUAUUGAACGGCAUCGUUUAAUAUUGAAAGCUCCGGCGGAUAGAGAUGGGCACGCGCAAGAUUAGCUAGUUGGUGAGGUAACGGCUCACCAAGGCGAUGAUCUUUAGGGGGCCUGAGAGGGUGAUCCCCCCACACUGGUACUGAGACACGGACCAG